CAUUUCUGAGCUCAGCAAACCUUCCCAGCAGGACCUGAUCUCUCCAAGACAGGCGCUCCAGUGGAUCUGAGUUAGAUCGGUGUAUAGAUCAGGUUUGUAAACCACCAAAACGGUCAAGAGUGAGUGCAAAAGGGAGAAAGCAGGCAACAGUUUGGGCCUCUCAGAUGCUAACACGGCAAUGUUUGUGUUGGGCCAGAGUUCCUAAGAAGCAAUGGACAAAGACCCAGAGUCUGUGCUGGGGGCCUUGGAAGGCUCUAAACCCUGAGCAGCAGUUUACAGAAGAGGCGAACAAUAUGGAUAUGGAGACAAUCUCUUAGGAGACUUGGGAGUGCUCUCCUGUAGGAUCCAAGACUUCUCAUCUUUCCGAUGCGAACUGAAUUAUGCUAGCAUGUCAACCAGGACAUUUCAGAGAAGCAUCGAACAGAAACGUGUUAGUAAACCUCUUACCAGAACACCCUCACUAUCGAUUUUUUUUUGUCACUAAAACACAAACCAGCAUGGGACAUUAAACAGGACCUUUGGUAUUUGGUGUUGGGAAAAUGCCCCCUUGGAUCUAGAGCUCUUUAGGAGUAAUGGCUUCCCGAAAAGAACUAUAGAGAAAAAGAAGGCAGAAUAACCCAGGUGCCUGAGCAUCUUUGAGGAGGCCCCGAUGUGACUACCUGAAACCAGUCUAUGUCAGCACUUCUUGCUACCUGAGAUAUACAUUAUUCAUGGUUUAAGCCAUUCUGAGUCAGGACUUUUUUUUUAUUGAAACUCGGAGCUGGAAAUAGCCAAGUUUACCCACCAAGAAUAACAUCUGGAUUAUGAACCCUGGAAAUAUAACCACUGUCAUUUUGUGUCCCUGGACUAUAUUAAGCUCUACCAC
rnacentral:lncRNA from 1 species